rnacentral:rRNA from 1 species
GCGAACGCUGGCGGCAGGCCUAAUACAUGCAAGUCGAGCGGCCCUUCGGGGCAGCGGCGGACGGGUGAGUAACGCGUGGGAACGUGCCCUUUGGUACGGAACAACUGAGGGAAACUUCAGCUAAUACCGUAUGUGCCCUUCGGGGGAAAGAUUUAUCGCCAUUGGAGCGGCCCGCGUUAGAUUAGCUAGUUGGUAGGGUAAUGGCCUACCAAGGCGACGAUCUAUAGCUGGUCUGAGAGGAUGAUCAGCCACAAUGGGACUGAGACACGGCCCAGACUCCUACGGGAGGCAGCAGUAGGGAAUCUUGCGCAAUGGGCGAAAGCCUGACGCAGCCAUGCCGCGUGAAUGAUGAAGGUCUUAGGAUUGUAAAAUUCUUUCACCGGGGACGAUAAUGACGGUACCCGGAGAAGAAGCCCCGGCUAACUUCGUGCCAGCAGCCGCGGUAACAC